AUGGCAUUCUAAGCAGUAUCUUCCAACAAAAAAUUGUAUCAGGAUAUGCUGAUAGCUGGGGCCUGAAAAAUGGCUACUCUUUAGAAUACACCUAGCAAGAACCUGGAGUUACUGUGAGGAAGAUACAACACAAAUGGCUUUUUUAUAAGCAAGUGCCCUACAUAUGAAAAAGAAAGGGGACAGGAAAGGGCAGAGGAAAGAAGGAAAGGGGAGGAAGAGGAAAAGGAGAAGGAAAAGCAUUUCUGCCUUGCUUCUCUAAAGGCAGUCUACUCCUAGCAAUUGCUACCAUAGACAAACACAUUCUUACUACUUAAUGACUGGAAAAGGCUUUUUACUCUUUCUUUUAUGGCCAUAACUGCUGAAUCUUUUCCAUAUUACCAUACUCCUUGGCUGCAGAGGAUCCUAUUAUUUUUCUGACUCUGCAAUAGUUUUCAAACCUGGUUGCAUGAAAACUACCUAGAUAACUUAUUAAAACAUGCAGGUUGGUAGUCUCACCCCAGAUUUACUAUAUCAGACUCUUUAUUGAUAAAAUGUGGCAGUACCUAUCAAAAUUCUUAGCACAACAUACCCUUUGAUCGAACAAUUCUCUAUUUUUCCCUCUAAGCAUAUUUAUAAAAGUUUGAUAAAAAAUAUAUACAUAAGAACAUCAUUGUCAUAUUAUAACAAUAUAAGCCGGAAACAAUCAUAUUGUCCAUCAGAUCAGCAGAAGUUAAAUUACUCAAAAUCCAUAUACUAGAAGACUAUCCAGCUACUAAAAGUUUAAUUUUAACAUGGUCUCAAAUUCCUGCUAGAACUAGUAAUUCUAUAAAAUUCAGUAACUGUGUCUGAUACGGCUCCCCUGUGGCAUCACACCUAGACAAUACCUAUCAUUUUGUAUAAUAUCCACAGACACUGCUAAAAUGGAACCAUUAUUGUAUACUAAUGGUUAGAAAAGGCACAGGGAAAGAAUAGUCUUCAUUUUCAAAAGGUUAUUGAUCUGAUGUAGAAACCACCCAAGUAUGGAAGAACAGGGAGAACAGGGACCUGUUUCAUCAGACUGCAGACAUGCAUUCUGAAACUCAAAACCCAAGAGAUCUGAAUGCCUUUAUAAAAGGUAAUGAUGCUAGCAAAUGAAUCAUCAAGGCUAGAACUUUUCUCUAUCCUUGUAAGCCACUGUAAUCCCACUACUAGCACAUAAGCAGCCUGUAGUAUGUGGAGUGGAGCCUUGUUGCUAAUAAUUUGGCCAAGCUCGCUCACAAGCUGACUGUGACAGUAUCACAGACAUGGAAGACCUGCCAGAGAGAAUCGAUCAAAGCCUUCCUUGAUAACUUACCAUUUACUGAAUAUCAUAUCUUCUAUGAGCUAACAGUCUGCUAAGGUCUUUGGGAACAUAAUUAUUAGGUACCCAGGCUCUUUUUUUUAACAUGGAGAAACCGAGGCUUAGAGAAGAUCUAUGUAAUUUGUCUGGGUUCAUAUAGUAAGGACUAUUGUUUCAUAAAAAAAGAGGCUUGAGAAACUUCAUCUCAACUAAUGGCUGGGUGCUGUGGCAUGCACAUUUUAAAAACCCAGGUAUGGGGAAAGCACAAGUAGGAAGAAUGCAGCUCAGACCAGUUCUAGCAUAUAGUCAUACAUAUCUUGAAAACAACCAACAUAAACAAGAGCUGGGGAAAUAAUUCAAGUGGUAGAAUACCUGCCUAGCCAACAUGAGGCCUGAGUUCAUAUCCCCAGUGCUGGGGGAAAAAAAAGUCCCUACUCUUUCCACUGCAUCACCAUACAUCUACUCCAUUAAUACCAUGAAAUUUCUGUAAUCUCAACAAAUUUACUAUAUCAUCUAGCUCAGAGUAGCACACAAUAAACACCAACAGUGAGAUGGUUUUCUGAAACU